rnacentral:lncRNA from 1 species
UGAUCCACCCAUUUACUAAAUCAAUCCACCCUAUUAUAACUAUCAUUAGGAGAAUGGAUCAUCUCCAAAAACAGUCAUUACAAUCAUAGCUUUCAUCCCGCCUUCCUCGUUUCCAGCCCCCCUCUCCCUCUUUUUAUAGCCUUCCUCAUCCCAACCCCUCUUGUUCCCUCCAUUCUUAACUCUCAUCUCAACCCCCCUCAUUCCAACUAGUUCAUGUUCCCAACUCUAUGAGUCUUAGUUGAGAGUUGUAGCAAAACACAGAUUAGCUGCAAAGCUCAAUUCACACCGCCUUGAUGUGUUAGACAAUACUCCGAAAGCGUCCCCAAUUAGAAGUACUACAAAGACCCCCGGAUGUGAUUGAUACAAUGAAGUGGUGUUCUGAUUGGAGCCCCAUGCAUCGGUAUUCCAAGAACAAAUCUGCAGAGAACAACAGCGCAUACACAUUGCACUUCGAUUAUUACAUAACGAAAUGGGGACAGCAGUAGAAUUGCCACAGAAACAAUAGGAUGAUUUGAGGCAA